rnacentral:rRNA from 1 species
UACAGGGGGGGCAAGCGUUGUUCGGAAUUACUGGGCGUAAAGGGCCAGUAGGCGGCCAACUAAGUCCGACGUGAAAUCCCCAGGCUUAACCUGGGAACUGCGUCGGAUACUGGAUGGCUUGAAUUCGGGAGAGGGAUGCAGAAUUCCAGGUGUAGCGGUGAAAUGCGUAGAUAUCUGGAGGAAUACCGGUGGCGAAGGCGGCAUCCUGGACCGGCAUUGACGCUGAGGAGCGAAAGCUAGGGGAGCAAACGGG